CCUACGGGAGGCUGCAGUGGGGAAUUUUGCGCAAUGCUCGUAAGAGUGACGCAGCGACGCCGCGUGAAUGACGAAUGCCUUCGGGUCGUAAAGUUCUUUCGACAGGGAAGAAAAUGCCUAUAAGUAACUGUGUUUGUAUUGACGGUACCUGUAUAAGCAGCCCCGGCUAGCUCCGUGCCAGAAGCCGCGGGAAUACGGAGGGGGCGAGCGUUGUUCGGAGUGACUGGGCGUAAAGAGCACGUAGGCGGUGUUGUAAGGCAUUAGUGAAAGAUUAGAGCUCAACUUUAGUAAGGCUAGUGAUACUGUAAUACUAGAGUAGCAGAGAGGAUUGCAGAAUUCCUGGUGUAGCGGUGAAAUGCGUAGAUAUCAGGAGGAAUACCGUUAGCGAAGGCGGCAAUCUGGCUGGAAACUGACGCUGAGGUGCGAAAGCGUGGGUAGCAAACAGGAUUAGAUACCCGUGUAGUC
rnacentral:rRNA from 1 species